UACGUAGGGUGCGAGCGUUGUCCGGAAUUAUUGGGCGUAAAGAGCUCGUAGGCGGUUUGUUGCGUCGGCCGUGAAAACCUGCAGCUUAACUGUGGGCCUGCGGCCGAUACGGGCAGACUUGAGUUCGGUAGGGGAGACUGGAAUUCCUGGUGUAGCGGUGAGAUGCGCAGAUAUCAGGAGGAACACCCGUGGCGAAAGCGGCUCUCUGGGACGGUACUGACGCUGAGACGCGAAAGCGUGGGGAGCAAACAGG
rnacentral:rRNA from 1 species